UAGGGAAUAUUGGGCAAUGGAGGGAACUCUGACCCAGCCAUGCCGCGUGCAGGAUGAAGGCGUUAUGCGUUGUAAACUGCUUUUUAUAUAGGAAGAAAUAGUCCUUGCGAGGAAAGUUGACGGUACUAUAUGAAUAAGCACCGGCUAACUCCGUGCCAGCAGCCGCGGUAAUACGGAGGGUGCAAGCGUUGUCCGGAUUUAUUGGGUUUAAAGGGUGCGUAGGCGGUUUAUUAAGUCAGCGGUGAAAGACGGUCGCUCAACGAUUGCAGUGCCAUUGAUACUGGUAGACUUGAGUAUGAUUGAGGUAGCUGGAAUGGAUAGUGUAGCGGUGAAAUGCAUAGAUAUUAUCCAGAACACCAAUUGCGUAGGCAAGUUACUAAGUCAUAACUGACGCUGAGGCACGAAAGUGUGGGUAUCAAACAGGAUUAGAU
rnacentral:rRNA from 1 species